rnacentral:tRNA from 1 species
GCGGUCGUGGCGGAAUUGGUAUACGCGCAACGUUGAGGUCGUUGUCCGGGUAACUGGGUGGAGGUUCAAGUCCUCUCGACCGCACCA